CAAAAAUGGUAAUUUUGAAAAUUUGUUUCAUGGAUUACAAACAUUAACCAAUUAAGUGGGCUCAAAAAAAAAAAAUGAAAAAGGGGGCCGGCCAUGGAAAAAAAAAAUGGUCAAGCCCAUGUGAGUUAAACUAUGUAAUAAAUAAAUAGAGAGGGUCCAUUAUGUAUCCUUCAUUAGAACAUUCUAGACCAAAAAAAAUUUGAGAGCAAAAAGGGAAAAGGCCUCUCGGCCGAAAGAGAAAGAGAAAAAAAAAAAAAAAAAACUUGUGGAGCUCAAAUCUUUGGUUCAAAAGUCAUCUCUUGUGAAUUCCUACUAAGCCCGAAACCCUCUUCAACGUGGUAUAAACUUUGAGGCAAGAAAGUACUUUUUUUACAAAGAGGAGAAUUUGGAAAAGAUAUUGGAGAGCUCGAGAUUUGAGUCGGGAUUUGUUUGGCGAUGGAUCGAGAUUUGGUAGUGAGCGAUCGAGAUGCAUUUUAAUGACAAGAGUUAGAGAGGAGGAAAAAUGACUUUGCAGACAUUCGUGUAGCCUUUUUGUUAAUGGCUUUCAGCAUAUUGAUGCAGGUAAAACCUACUUCAUUCUUUCCCUGAAUGCAAGAAGAUCAUCGGGAGGGUUGCAGCAUCACAAAUCCCAGACAAAUGCCCUUUUUUUUGGGAUAUGAGAAACUUUAGAAUUUUACGGAUUGUGGUUGAAAUGUAUAACAUACUGUACAUAGUUUGUAAUAUUUGUUACUAUCCAGCCUACCUAGUUUUGUUCUACAAUCUCAUUAUGUAUGAUUUGGAAGUAUUGUGUA